GGAGUCUGGGCCGUAUCUCAGUCCCAAUGUGGCCGGUCAACCUCUCAGUCCGGCUACUGAUCGUCGCCUUGGUGAGCCGUUACCCCACCAACUAGCUAAUCAGACGCGAGCCCAUCCUUCAGCGAUAAAUCUUUGAUAUAUCUACCAUGCGAUAAAUAUAUGUCAUGCGGUAUUAGCAGCCGUUUCCAGCUGUUGUCCCCCUCUGAAGGGCAGGUUGCUCACGCGUUACUCACCAGUCCGCCACUUUCCUCUAAUUCCAUCGGCCGAAACCUCUUUCCUUAGAUUCUCGUUCGACUUGCAUGUGUUAAGCACGCCGCCAGCGUUCGUCCUCGAGCCACUGAUCAAACUACU
rnacentral:rRNA from 1 species